CCUACGGGAGGCUGCAGUGGGGGAUAUUGCACAAUGGGGGAAACCCUGAUGCAGCGACGCCGCGUGUGGGAAGACGGUCCUCUGGAUUGUAAACCACUGUCCCCAGGGACGAAGAUGACGGUACCUGGGGAGGAAGCUCCGGCAAACUACGUGCCAGCAGCCGAGGUAAUCCGUGGGGAGCGAGCGUUGUCCGGAAUUACUGGGUGUAAAGGGAGCGUAGGCGGGACUGCAAGUUGGGUGACAAAUCUACCGGCGCAAGCGGGAGCCGCCCGCGAAACUGCAGUUCUUGAGUGAAGUAGAGGCAGGCGGAAUUCCUAGUGUAGCGGUGAAAUGCGUAGAUAGUAGGAGGAACACCAGUGGCGAAGGCGGACUGCUGGGCUUUUACUGACGCUGAGGCUCGAAAGUGUGGGGAGCAAACAGGAUUAGAUACCCCUGUAGUC
rnacentral:rRNA from 1 species